GACGAACGCUGGCGGCGUGCCUAAUACAUGCAAGUUGAGCGCUGAAGGUUGGUACUUGUACCAACUGGAUGAGCAGCGAACGGGUGAGUAACGCGUGGGGAAUCUGCCUUUGAGCGGGGGACAACAUUUGGAAACGAAUGCUAAUACUGCAUAAAAACUUUAAACACAAGUUUUAAGUUUGAAAGAUGCAAUUGCAUCACUCAAAGAUGAUCCCGCGUUGUAUUAGCUAGUUGGUGAGGUAAAGGCUCACCAAGGCGAUGAUACAUAGCCGACCUGAGAGGGUGAUCGGCCACAUUGGGACUGAGACACGGCCCAAACUCCUACGGGAGGCAGCAGUAGGGAAUCUUCGGCAAUGGACGAAAGUCUGACCGAGCAACGCCGCGUGAGUGGAGAAGGUUUUCGGAUCGUAAAACUCUGUUGGUAGAGAAGAACGUUGGUGAGAGUGGAAAGCUCAUCAAGUGACGGUAACUACCCAGAAAGGGACGGCUAACUACGUG
rnacentral:rRNA from 1 species